UUGUGUCGCGAUUCUUUUUUCAUAACGCUCGACCACGUGCGCCAAUUCUUACCCUCUUUACCCCACCUAUUAUAUUAAUACCUAAUCCUCUUGUGUACGAGUUAACAUUUCGAUUCUCCGUACUGUCAGCUUUAUUUUUCCUUCCGAAAUAUAUAUUUUUUGUCUUCGUUUAUUCGAACAACGAAACUUCGUCGCAGAACGCGUUUGCUUUUAUCACUCGGAAGGAAGAAAGAGAAGGAAGGAAGGAAGGAAGGAUCGCGUGACCGAAAAACGGAUCGAAACCUAUUACGAUUUAAAUCGAAUCAAAUCAUAUCAAGAUUUCUACGUACCGUUGGGGUUGGCAAGCAACGGUGAUAAGAAGAACCACCAUUGGUCGAGUAAUACGUUCGCGCAUAGGUGAUGAUGUCAAGGAUGUGAUAUUCUUCUACUAACAAACGAGUGUAGAAAAUUAACCGAUUGUCAAAGCGAGGUGUAUUAACGUUUUAUUAACGCCAUGUAAACGCAUCGCUGUUACAUUUCUUCCCUACGCAGGAAGAAACGUUUCGAGGAAGAUGAUGAUGACAAUGAUGGAGAGUGAACAGCGGCCAUCUUUACGCGACAAACGGAAAACUACUAACGGUGCGGAGGUGCUGGACUCGAAAGGUUAGCAGCGCUCUCGUGGUUUCGUAUUACCGUGUCUGUGAUAAAUAGCUAGAACCUACUAUACAUUCCAAAGUCUGUGAGAUAGUUCCGUUGCUAGAUAGUAGAAAGAUAAUAGUACUUUUAGUUUCAUUUUCGAGAUAAUUUUCAAUUCGAUAGAAGAAAAAGAAGAAGAAGAA
rnacentral:misc_RNA from 1 species